UGGGGAAUUUUGCACAAUGGGCGGAAGCCUGAUGCAGCGACGCCGCGUGAGGGAUGAAUGCUUUCGGGUUGUAAACCUCUUUUAUCCACCACGAAGGCUCCGUAUUCGCGGGGUUGACGGUAGUGGUUGAAUAAGCGCCGGCUAACUACGUGCCAGCAGCCGCGGUAAGACGUAGGGCGCGAGCGUUGUCCGGAUUUAUUGGGCGUAAAGGGCUCGUAGGCGGUUGAUUGCGUCCGCCGUGAAAGGCCUCGGCUUAACCGGGGUUUUGCGGUGGAUACGGGUCGACUUGAGGCAAUUAGGGGAGAUCGGAAUUCUACGUGUAGCGGUGAAAUGCGCAGAUAUGUGGAGGAACACCGGUGGCGAAGGCGGAUCUCUGGGAUUGUUCUGACGCUGAGGAGCGAAAGCGUGGGGAGCGAACAGG
rnacentral:rRNA from 1 species